UUUUGACUGAGAGAGCUGAUACCAGCAGCUUGAGUGCAAAAAUUAGCCGUGGGUAUCAGAUAGGCUGAGCGAUCUUUCUGCGCUUAUUUUAGUGACCAAACAGUUGUUUUACCUUCUAGAUUUCAAGGAAGCAGACGUCUUUACGAGCACAGAGCGUGCAUUUUCCUGUUCUGAAGCUACAUUUAUGGUUACCUCCUGCCAAAUCUCUUUCACAAAGCUUUUUAUUAUAGAUUAAAAGCGAGUGACAGAGCAAACGGAAGAGCUAUAGCCUUGUCAUAUUCUGAAUGUCAUCAUUAGUUAAGCAUGAAGUUCCAGGUUUCCCAAACGGAACCACAACCACAGACGGCAGGAAUAAAUCAGCGAUGGUGACAGACUCCAAUCAACUCCACAGAAUAAUGCAGUGAGAGAAGCACGUGGGAAUCCAGCGGCCUUGCUAACGCCUUGUCAGUGUGUCGAAUCUGCUCCGCGCCAUAUUAGAGGCAACGGUAACUUAAUUCCGACUGAGUCGGCUGCCGAUUUGCUCCGCUGAGCUGCUCCUUGAAUCAAAAGGGCAUUAAUCAAAGAGAGAGGGGUCGAUCCAACGUCAACCACAUGGCUUUGACCUCAGCUUGACUGAGUACCUGCCAUGACGCAAAGAUAUUUACAGGUUGCCGAUCCCAUCAAUCUAGUUUUUUUUUUUUUUUUUUUUUUUUUUUUCCCUUUUUUAAAAGCAAGUGUCAGAUAAAAGACAGAGAGAUCUGGACUGUUUAUACUGCAGACGGCACACAAGACCUGUAGCUAUGGCAGCAUGGAAAGACUAAUAAGGGAGUUUGCACAUUUCUGCUUCAGACUGCCACAAUGUUUAAAUAGACUUGCUGAGUACUCCUCUGCAGAAGCACGUUGGCUAAAAUACAAAACUUAGCCGGGGAAACUGUGUCAUGGCAGGACAAAUUUGAAGUUAAGCUCGCUAAUGCAGACCAUAAAGACUCAAUCUUCAGUAGAAAAGCAUAUUUUAUGUGUUAUAUUUAAUUGUUUGGAGGCACAUUAUCCAGAGUGGGGCAGAAACACAAUUAUACUUGUGAGAAAUACAUUUUUAUCAUAUUACAUUGCUUUUACUCCUAAAUGCACAUUUUAUUUUUAUAUUUUAGUUUAAAAACAGGAUCUUACUGGUGUAGAUCUGGACACAUGCAUCCUCUUUGCAAGGUAACGUUUCUGCCGGGCAAUUCUGUCACUGUUUAACCUUUCAGUUUCAUGGUCGGCAUACAGUUUUUAGAUCUGGACUGCAGCACAUCAAUCUUUGAAGUUAUGCUUUUAUAAGUCUUACAGUUGAAAUAUGGAGUUGUCCUAAUGGAAAAAAAACCCCUCCAGGCUCCCAGGAGAAGCUAUCAUCUUGAUGACGGAAACUCUCUCUUUUAAAUUCCAACAUAUGUCUGAGGAAAACCUUUACAGGUCAGCGAGGGCCGUGGAUACCGAUGCAGCCCAGUAUCAUCUCUGCUGACAGGUUUUGCAACUUCAUCCUUCAUUUGAUGAAGACCGAUUGUGUUUACUUAAAGAAAACUGAAAUGUAGAGUGAUCCAACCAAAGAGCAUGUGUCCACUGUACAACUAUUUAUACAAGAUGAGCUCAUGCUCUAAGAAGUCGGAUGUAUUUUUGCACAGAGUUCAGAGAUAAAUGGCAGUCCACUGUGUCACACAGCUCCAGCGUACAUUUCUGGAUACAGAGGACGAUUGGGUGCAGUGAGUGUACAGUUUACAGUGCUGUAAAAAGUGUUUGUUCUCCUA